rnacentral:rRNA from 1 species
CAAUAGCGUAUAUUAACGUUGUUGCAGUUAAAAAGCUCGUAGUUGGAUUUCUGGAGGGAGCGUCGGCCCGUAUUUACGAGUGCGUGACGUCUCUGUCCAUCCUUGCGGGAAGGCACGGCAUUGAUUUGUUGUGUCGGAUCGCAUCAUUUACUGUGAAAAAAUUAGAGUAUUCAAAGCAGGCUUUCGCUUGAAUACAUUAGCAUGGAAUAAUAAGAUAGGACUUUGGUGCUAUUUUGUUGGUUGAGCCUAAAGUAAUGAUUAAUAGGGAUAGUUGGGGGCACCUGUAUUGCGUUGUCAGAGGUGAAAUUCUUGGAUUUACGCAAGACAAACAGCUGCGAANGNGUCUGCNAAGGAUGUUUNCAUUA